GUUUUUAUAGUUUAAAAAUAAAACAUUAAUUUUGUAAAUUAAAAAUAAUAUAUUUAUUUAAAAACU
rnacentral:tRNA from 2 species